CACGGUCUAGCACCGGCGACGGAUCAUUCAAGUGUCUGCCCUAUCAACUUUCGUCGGUACGGUAUUUGCCUACCGAGGUUCUUACGGGUGACGGGGAAUCAGGGUUCGAUUCCGGAGAGGGAGCCUGAGAAACGGCUACCACAUCCAAGGAAGGCAGCAGGCGCGCAAAUUACCCAUUCCCGACGCGGGGAGGUAGUGACGAAAAAUAACAAUGCAGGACUCGUUCGAGGCCCUGUAAUUGGAAUGAGUACACUUUAAAAGCUUUAACGAGUAUCCAUUGGAGGGCAAGUCUGGUGCCAGCAGCCGCGGUAAUUCCAGCUCCAAAAGUAUAUAUUUAAGUUGUUGCGGUUAAAAAGCUCGUAGUUGGAUUUUGGGCGCAGGCGGCCGGUCCGUCGCAAGGCGUGUACUGGACGUCCUGGCCUUCCCUCCGGUUCUCCGCCGGUGCUCUUGACUGAGUGUCGGCGGCGGCCGGAACGUUUACUUUGAAAAAAUUAGAGUGUUCAAAGCAGGCUCUCGAGCCUGGAUAAUGGUGCAUGGAAUAAUGGAAUAGGACCUCGGUUCUAUUUUGUUGGUUCUCGGAGCGCGAGGUAAUGAUUAAGAGGGACAGACGGGGGCAUUCGUACUGUGCCGUUAGAGGUGAAAUUCUUGGAUCGGCGCAAGACGAACGACUGCGAAAGCAUUUGCCAAGAAUGUUUUCUUUAAUCAAGAGCGAAAGUCAGAGGUUCGAAGACGAUCAGAUACCGUCCUAGUUCUGACUAUAAACGAUGCCAACUAGCGAUCGGGGGGCGUUACAUU
rnacentral:ncRNA from 1 species